rnacentral:rRNA from 1 species
GACGAACGCUGGCGGCGUGCUUAACACAUGCAAGUCGAACGGUGAAGCGCCUUCCUUUUUGGGGGGUGUGGAUGAGUGGCGAACGGGUGAGUAACACGUGAGUAACCUGCCCCCUUCUUCUGGAUAACCGCAUGAAAGUGUGGCUAAUACGGGGUAUUCUGGGUCUGUCGCAUGAUGGGUCUGGGAAAGAUAUUGUUUCGGUGGGGGAUGGGCUCGCGGCCUAUCAGCUUGUUGGUGGGGUGAUGGCCUACCAAGGCGGUGACGGGUAGCCGGCCUGAGAGGGUGGACGGUCACACUGGGACUGAGACACGGCCCAGACUCCUACGGGAGGCAGCAGUGGGGAAUAUUGCACAAUGGGCGCAAGCCUGAUGCAGCGACGCCGCGUGAGGGAUGGAGGCCUUCGGGUUGUGAACCUCUUUCGCCAGUGAAGCAGGCCUGCCUCUUUUGUGGGUGGGUUGACGGUAGCUGGAUAAGAAGCGCCGGCUAACUACGUGCCAGCAGCCGCGGUAAUACGUAGGGCGCGAGCGUUGUCCGGAAUUAUUGGGCGUAAAGAGCUCGUAGGCGGCUGGUCGCGUCUGUCGUGAAAUCCUCUGGCUUAACUGGGGGCUUGCGGUGGGUACGGGCCGGCUUGAGUGCGGUAGGGGAGGCUGGAACUCCUGGUGUAGCGGUGGAAUGCGCAGAUAUCAGGAAGAACACCGGUGGCGAAGGCGGGUCUCUGGGCCGUUACUGACGCUGAGGAGCGAAAGCGUGGGGAGCGAACAGG